AUUGAACGCUGGCGGCAGGCCUAACACAUGCAAGUCGAACGAGUGGCGGACGGGUGAGUAAUGUCUGGGAAACUGCCAGAUGGAGGGGGAUAAUUACUGGAAACGGUAGCUAAUACGGCAUACCAUCAGAUGUGCUCAGAUGGGAGUCGCUAGUUGGUGGGGUAACGGCUCACCACGGCGACGAUCCCUAGCUGGUCUGAGAGGAUGACCGGCCACACUGGAACUGAGACACGGUCCAGACUCCUACGGGAGGCAGCAGUGGGGAAUAUUGCACAAUGGGCGCAAGCCUGAUGCAGCCAUGCCGCGUGUAUGAAGAAGGCCUUCGGGUUGUAAAGUACUUUCAGCGGGGAGGCGUUACCCGCAGAAAAAGCACCGGCUAACUCCGUGCCAGCCGCCGCGGUAAUUC
rnacentral:rRNA from 1 species